GACGAACCGUGCGAACGUUAUUCGGAAUCACCGGGCUUAAAGCGCGUGUAGGCGGGACGGCACGUCGGUCGCUGAAAUCCCCCGGCUUAACCGGGGAACGGGCGUCGAUACGACCGUCCUGGAGGGGCGUAGGGGGACCUGGAACUUCCGGUGGAGCGGUGAAAUGCGUUGAGAUCGGAAGGAACGCCCGUGGCGAAAGCGAGGUCCUGGACGCCUACUGACGCUGAGACGCGAAAGCCAGGGGAGCGAACGGG
rnacentral:rRNA from 1 species